rnacentral:rRNA from 1 species
GACGAACGCUGGCGGCGUGCUUAACACAUGCAAGUCGAACGGAAAGGCCCUGCUUGCAGGGUGCUCGAGUGGCGAACGGGUGAGUAACGCGUGGGUGAUCUGCCCCUUACUUUGGGAUAAGCCUGGGAAACUGGGUCUAAUACUGGAUAGGACCAUGCUGUAGGUGGUGUGGUGGAAAGAUUAGUUUCGGUAAGGGAUGAGCUCGCGGCCUAUCAGCUUGUUGGUGGGGUAAUGGCCUACCAAGGCGUCGACGGGUAGCCGGCCUGAGAGGGUGGACGGCCACAUUGGGACUGAGAUACGGCCCAGACUCCUACGGGAGGCAGCAGUGGGGAAUAUUGCACAAUGGGCGCAAGCCUGAUGCAGCGACGCCGCGUGGGGGAUGACGGCCUUCGGGUUGUAAACUCCUUUCAGCCAUGACGAAGCCCUUGUGGUGACGGUAGUGGUAGAAGAAGCACCGGCUAACUACGUG